rnacentral:rRNA from 1 species
UACGUAGGGUGCGAGCGUUGUCCGGAAUUAUUGGGCGUAAAGGGCUCGUAGGCGGUUUGUCGCGUCGGGGAGUGAAAACCAUGGGCUUAACUCAUGGCUUGCUUCCGAUACGGGCAGACUAGAGGUAUGCAGGGGAGAACGGAAUUCCUGGUGUAGCGGUGAAAUGCGCAGAUAUCAGGAGGAACACCGGUGGCGAAGGCGGUUCUCUGGGCAUUACCUGACGUGAGGAGCGAAAG